ncrna:unclassified sequences RAGATH-18 RNA
CUUGUGGACUGUUUUAUAUCAAACGAGAGUAGACUUUGUAUUUUAAAGUGUGAAGACCAAAUCAGACAGGUUGAAGCAAGAA